AGCUAAUAUGGAAUGGACAUGAGCAAGCACUCGAAGAAGAAAAACUCAUCUCUACAGGAGACAACGAAACCAAGCAAUCUGAUGUCUGUGAUGGGUCCUGGCCAGUAAAAGCUGGAAAGGAGACUGAGGUGAACCUGAAAGUGUUGUCAGAAGAAAAAACAUUAAACUCGAGGAUGAAAAUUCAUCAAUGAAACUUCCUGAGAAGGGAAACAGGAAUGAACAACUUGGAGAAGAAUUUGGACUCUGAAGCUCUGGAUGAGUGAUUUUGCUUUGAUGUAGCUAGGAUGCCAAAGUAUCAAUUUAUGGCUUGAUAGAUUUCACUGGAAGUUUAUCAUCAUCUCCCUCUGAGCUAUUUGACAGCAAUAGGUAGGGUGCAGCUGGCACCAUAAAGAGGUGUGUCACCCAGCUGAGCCCUUAAUCAACAACACUGUUGAAAAUUUAGUGUUUCAUCUUGACCAGAUGUUUUUAAUAUAGCUUUGGUUUGUGUAUUACGGCACUAUUCUCACCUUAGUAACGAGCUAUCCGACUUUUAUUGCCAACAAGCUACAAAGUACUCCUCAUCUCCAGUUCCAGCCUCUAACCCUUGAUAUGAGUGAUUUCUUCUGGGAAUAGGUAGGAGAACUGAUAUUUAUCAACACUGAUACAAUCCUUAGACACUUGGGCAGCUCUGAAGUUUCUGGGAUUUUUGUUUUUUGAAUAGGUCCACGGUUACUAUUCUAAUUGUUGAUAGAUAACUGGAGAUAUUUUAAAAUCUAGAUAAACAAAGUGCAUAGAAACAAUUAAAAAAGUCUAUCCAAGGCUCUAGACACCCUAACAUCACAAUAAAUCCCAGCAGCAUUAUAGAAUCACUUUACAGAAGUGACUCCCUUUCACACUUACAGAAACUCCUUUCUACCCCCUUCAUCAUUAUGGGAAGCAUGCUCUCAGCCCUCUCCAAAAACCCAGUCGAACAGAUGGCUUUUACACCAUGCCUAAAAGAGCACCAAAUUUGGGGUAUUUUGGACUAAGGGUGGAAGCAAGCUCCUGAGUCUCAGGGCCUUCACAGAGAGCGACCUGCCAUCCAUCCCAUCUCUUAGAUAAUGAGGGGGGAUUCAGAUUCUCCCUACUGACUGCAGCUGUGGCAAUAUGGAAUGAGGAGAGAGGUGACUCCUCAGGUAGACCAGUUCUAAGCCAUUUAGGCUUUUAUCGUUCAUAACUAAUAACUUAGACUCCACUUGGAGAUCAGUAAUUCACCCUACUGUUUGUAAAGACAGAUUUCUUAAAGCUGACAAACACAAUUGCCAAUAAAGAAUAAUCUAAAUGUACCUGAUAUCUGAGAGCCCUCUCUCAGAUCUUACCAUUUCAUGCAAUGCCACAUACCUGGCAAAAUCUUCUACUGUACUGGGGCAUGAGUGUUCAGGACAGCAUCAAUUUUUCUCCCUAAUAUGCUGUGAUAGGCAUGGUGCAGCUGAGAUUAGAUUUCUGCCCCAGCAAUUUAUGCUUGGGGAAACCGAUUAACCAAUUACUGCUUCCUGCGAUGGCUCCCAUUCCAAUUUCAUUUUAUUCAUCUAAAAGAAACAACUUUUACUUUUUGGCAUCAUCAUAUUAAUAAUGAAUGUGUGAAGUGGGAGUCUAAUUUUAUUAAGCAUCUUGUUUUAUUUUUAAAAAACAUGUCUUGUUAUUUUAACUUUGGCCGGGAGGUCAUGAUGGCUCCCUGGAGCUAACCAAUUAAUAAUCAUUGUCAACUGCAUUUUACAUUUUAAUUUGGCUUUGUUCGACUAGCCUAGACUCUUCCCUGCAGCUAGGAAACUGCUCUCCACUAUAUUUUCAAUGUUUGGGUUUUGGCUGAGAAGUCUUCACACUUCCCAGGAGCCAGAGAGAAUUGUUCAUUCUUUAAAAGUUUGUCUCAUCUUUUGUGACAAAAAGAUAUGAAAUCAUGCAUAAAUCCCAUUGUGUUUCUCUCAUGUCAAGAGCAAAACUAAUUUGAGUGGAGAAAGGUGGGUGGGGAUAAAAGGUGUGUGCUAGAAUAAAUAGAAAACAAUCUGGUCUACAAUACCUGACCUGCGAAAAACCUUCACGACCAAAGGUGUGGAGGGCCUGUAGUGUAUCAACUCUGGAGACUAAGAUGUAACAGUUGUGCUCCAUGCAUCUUGAAUAGGCAUCAUAAAUAAAAACCCGAAUGAGAUCUCAUGUGAAUGAAAUUGGACUGAUCUAUAAAAUCUAGCAUCAAGGAAUAAUAACCAAUAGCUAGGAUAUUUUGGUAGGUUUUGCAUAUGACAUCAAUCUGUAAUGUUAACUGACUUUAAGCAUUUUCCUGAGUUAUAGUGAUGAUAAUAAUGCACUGAUAAUAAUGCUUGUUAUCUUGGAGAAGGGUAUUCCAGUCAGUUUUAUUACUCUGUUUUUAUAGUGACUUGAAAAAAGGAAAGUAUCCGAUGUUUUCUUCAUGUUGUCUGACUAGACACAGGUGAUCCUAUGAGGUGCUCAGCACCCACAACUUCAAUGGGAAUUGAGGUGCCCAGUAAUUUGCAGGAUCAGUCCUAAUCUAGGUUGGCCUCAUGCUGCAUAUUUCUUCCGUUUCUGCACCUCUCUCUGAGCUCUUGCAUGUUUAAUAAAGGUCUUUUCACUUUUUCAAUUAAAAAAAAUCAUUUGGCGCAGCAGAGCUGGAUCCUGGGUCUCCCACCUCCCAUCUGAGUGCUCCA